GAGCACGUAGGUGGGUUUGUAAGUCAGAUGUGAAAGCCUUCUGUUCAACGGAAGAAUUGCAUCUGAAACUGCGAGUCUUGAGUGUAGGAGGGGAGAAUGGAACUUCUGGUGGAGCGGUGAAAUGCGUAGAUAUCAGAAGGAACGCCGGCGGCGAAAGCGAUUCUCUGGCCUAUUACUGACACUCAGUGUGCGAAAGCUAGGGGAGCAAACGGGAUUAGAUACCCCGGUAGUCCUAGCCGUAAACGAUGGGCACUAAGUAGAGGGAAUUACCGAUAUUCUCUCUGCCGUAGCUAACGCAUUAAGUGCCCCGCCUGGGGAGUACGGCCGCAAGGCUAAAACUCAAAAGAAUUGACGGGGGCUCGCACAAGCGGUGGAGCAUGUGGCUUAAUUCGAUGCAACGCGAAAAACCUUACCGGGGCUUGACAUGGUAGAAGUAGGAACCCGAAAGGGUAACGAACGGUAUCCAGUCCGUAACUAUUACAGGUGUUGCAUGGCUGUCGUCAGCUCGUGUCGUGAGACGUUGGGUUAAGUCCCCUAACGAGCGAAACCCUUGUUUUUAGUUGCCAGCGGGUUAUGCCGGGCACUCUAGAAAGACUGCCGUCGUCAAGACGGAGGAAGGUGGGGACGACGUCAAGUCAUCAUGGCCCUUAUGCCCCGGGCUGCACACGUGCUACAAUGGCCGGUACAAACGGAAGCGAAGCCGAGAGGUGAAGCGAAUCC
rnacentral:rRNA from 1 species